GUACCCAGUGGAGCCUGAGGGUACUUCUGGCAACCCGAUCUUAGGCGGUUAUGCUCCAGCAAAGAGCUUAUGAUCACCAGCCUGGACAGUUACUUCUUAAGGUGGACUUAUCCAGAUUUGACCAAGAAUCGGAUCCGGGGAGAAACAAAAAAAAACACCCUGGCCUCCGCUCGUCUGAGCCUGUUGGAGACCAGGAAUAACCAGUAUAGGUUUUGUUGGGACACUACACACAAGCAGAAUGGAGAGACAAAAAAAAAGAAACAUCAGUACCGAUAAAACAAUCACUCACAUAUUUACACUUAUAACUCACAUUAAAGGUGUUGGCGCGAUAACGUACCCAGUGGAGCCUGAGGGUACUUCUGGCAACCCGAUCUUAGGCGGUUAUGCUCCAGCAAAGAGCUUAUGAUCACCAGCCUGGACAGUUACUUCUUAAGGUGGACUUAUCCAGAUUUGACCAAGAAUCGGAUCCGGGGAGAAACAAAAAAAAACACCCUGGCCUCCGCUCGUCUGAGCCUGUUGGAGACCAGGAAUAACCAGUAUAGGUUUUGUUGGGACACUACACACAAGCAGAAUGGAGAGACAAAAAAAAAGAAACAUCAGUACCGAUAAAACAAUCACUCACAUAUUUACACUUAUAACUCACAUUAAAGGGUAAUUCCCCAAAAUAAUAAAUAUAGACCGAACACUGA